rnacentral:rRNA from 1 species
GAUGAACGCUAGCGGCAGGCCUAACACAUGCACGUCGAGGGGUAUAAAAGAGCUUGCUUUUUUAGAGACCGGCAAACGGGUGCGGAACACGUACGCAAUCUGCCCUUAUCACGGGGAUAGCCCAGAGAAAUCUGGAUUAAUACCCGAUAGUAUUAUAAUAAGGCAUCUUGUUGUAAUUAAAGCUAUGGCGGAUAAGGAUGAGCGUGCGCAAGAUUAGCUAGUUGGUGAGGUAACGGCUCACCAAGGCGACGAUCUUUAGCUGAUGUGAGAGCAUGAUCAGCCACACGGGCACUGAGACACGGGCCCGACUCCUACGGGAGGCAGCAGUGAGGAAUAUUGGUCAAAUGGACGAAGUCUGAACCAGCCAUGCCGCGUGAAGGAU